UUAAUACCGGAUAGAUCAAAGAUACUGGGAUGUUCUUUGUUCGAAAGCUCCGGCGCCCAAGGAUGGGUCUGCGGCCUAUCAGGUAGUAGUGGGUGUAACGUACCUACUAGCCUACGACGGGUAAGGGUUGUGAGAGCAAGAGCCCUGAGAUGGAUUCUGAGACAUGAAUCCAGGCCCUACGGGGUGCAGCAGGCGCGAAAACUUUACACUGCGGGAAACCGCGAUAAGGGGACCCCGAGUGCCAGCACCUAGUGCUGGCUGUCCAGCUGUUCAAAAAACAGUUGUUAGCAAGGGCCGGGCAAGACCGGUGCCAGCCGCCGCGGUAACACCGGCGGCCCGAGUGGUAGCCGUUAUUAUUGGGUUUAAAGGGUCCGUAGCCGGCCUAUUAAGUCUCUUGGGAAAUCUGGCGACUCAAUCGUCAGGCGUUCA
rnacentral:rRNA from 1 species